UCAAAAAAAAAAAAAAAAAAAACACACACACAAGAAAAAAAAGAAUGAAGGAAUGAACUACUGACAUAUGCAACAGCAUGGAUGACAAUCAAAUGCAUUAUACUGGAGUGAAAUAACUCUGACUUAAAAUGUACAUAUUGUAUGAUUCCAUGAUGUGACAUUUUGGAAAAGGCAAAAAAUAUAGGUAUGCAUCAGAGUCAGUUUGUGUUGCUAUAAAUACCUGAGAUCGGGUGAUUUAUAAAGAAAAGGGGUCUAUUUGGUUCACAGUUCUACAAGCUGUAUAAUAAGCAUGGCAUGAGCAUCUGCUUCUGCGGAAGCCUCAGGCUGCUUCCACUCAAGCAGAAGGCAAAAGGAAGCUGGUAUGUGCAGAGGUCACAUGGUGAGGGGGGACGCAAAAGGAGAGAGGGGGAGCUGCCAGCCUCUUUUUAACAACCAACUUUCUCAGAAGCUA
rnacentral:lncRNA from 1 species